AACGGUCCUAAGGUAGCGAAAUUCCUUGUCGGGUAAGUUCCGACCCGCACGAAAGGCGUAACGAUUUGGGCACUGUCUCAACGAGAGACUCGGUGAAAUCAUAGUACCUGUGAAGAUGCAGGUUACCCGCGACAGGACGGAAAGACCCCGUGGAGCUUUACUGUAGCCUGAUAUUGAAAUUCGGCACAGCUUGUACAGGAUAGGUAGGAGCCUUUGAAACGUGAGCGCUAGCUUACGUGGAGGCGCUGGUGGGAUACUACCCUAGCUGUGUUGGCUUUCUAACCCGCACCACUUAUCGUGGUGGGAGACAGUGUCAGGCGGGCAGUUUGACUGGGGCGGUCGCCUCCUAAAAGGUAACGGAGGCGCUCAAAGGUUCCCUCAGAAUGGUUGGAAAUCAUUCAUAGAGUGUAAAGGCAUAAGGGAGCUUGACUGCGAGACCUACAAGUCGAGCAGGGUCGAAAGACGGACUUAGUGAUCCGGUGGUUCCGCAUGGAAGGGCCAUCGCUCAACGGAUAAAAGCUACCCCGGGGAUAACAGGCUUAUCUCCCCCAAGAGUUCACAUCGACGGGGAGGUUUGGCACCUCGAUGUCGGCUCAUCGCAUCCUGGGGCUGUAGUCGGUCCCAAGGGUUGGGCUGUUCGCCCAUUAAAGCGGUACGCGAGCUGGGUUCAGAACGUCGUGAGACAGUUCGGUCCCUAUCCGUCGUGGGCGUAGGAAAUUUGAGAGGAGCUGUCCUUAGUACGAGAGGACCGGGAUGGACAUACCUCUGGUGUACCAGUUGUCGUGCCAACGGCAUAGCUGGGUAGCUAUGUAUGGACGGGAUAAGUGCUGAAAGCAUCUAAGCAUGAAGCCCCCCUCAAGAUGAGAUUUCCCAACUUCGGUUAUAAGAUCCCUCAAAGAUGAUGAGGUUAAUAGGUUCGAGGUGGAAGCAUGGUGACAUGUGGAGCUGACGAAUACUAAUCGAUCGAAGACUUAAUCAA
rnacentral:rRNA from 1 species